rnacentral:rRNA from 1 species
UCUGACAGCACUGCCACCCUGAACAUGUCCAAUCUCGUCUGAUCUCAGAAGUAAGCAGGGUUGGGCCCAGUUAGUACUUGGAUGGGAGACCACUUAGGAAGACCGGGUGCUGUAGGCA